GGUGAAGUCAUGUAGAUCAAAACCAUCCUCACCUGCCUGGUUUCCUGGUUGUUCUUGGAGUCUCUUAUAAAUGUUUCAUGCCAGAUAGAGACAAAGGAUGAAGGUUAUUGGUGCUGGGGAAAGGAUUAUGUUGUCAAAAGGAAGUAUUGACAUCAAACGCUCCCACGGUCAGACUUUUUCAAGAGAAAGAACAAAGGCCUUGCUGGCUUUAACUGACGAGAACUCGCUAAUCAACCCCUUCCUUUUUAGUUCAGCAAAUGUCAAUGAAGUGAAUAAGUGUCCUACUCCCAGCUGGCAAGUUGCAGUUACUGAGAGACCUGUGUGGAUUCCUACAGCUACUUCACUGUGGCUGUACUUUAGCCUGGAGUAUGUACAAAAGUGCAUCCCAUGGGGUUGUGUCCCAAAUCCAUUAACUAAGCAAGUGUCAGCAUCUCCACGGGUCUCAGCACAGGAUGCUAUGGAACUAUCGGGAAACCAUGAUUUAUAAUCUGAGAAAUUCACUGUCAAUCUAGGCAAAGGUUCAGAGAGUCAAGUUCCCCAACGUGAUGGACGAUUCCUUUAUUUCUCACGAAAGCAUAGGCAGCUCAAUCUGACUGGGAGCACAUAGUCCUCAGUGUUAAGUAACCUGAGGCUGAGGAUUGCUACCUUCUCCCAGUGCAAUCCUCAAUCGACUCCCUCGUUUAUUUUCUCAAUUUCUUAAUUAGCGCCAGUCCCACAAAACUAAAACAACAAACAACCUGCGAGAAAUUUGAUUUUCGCUCCAAGUAGCACACGCAAUACUGAGAGCCUGAAAUGAGGAGAAACAGUCCAGUUUCUCUGAUGCUGAUGGCUAAAUUUGAAAGGUUAAGAAAAUCGUUUGAAUGAAAGCGCAAGGAGCAACAGGAGAAAAAAAAAUUGAAAAAUACGAAUAACUUUUGAUUGCUUCCGGAUCAAAGACAGCAACAAGAAACCCGAAGUGCCUUGUAUAUCACGGUUACAGAAGUUGUGAGAUUGUGUAAACAAAUGACCAAACACAGCAUGAAAGUAUAUUAUGGGAAUCGUACCCUCGGUAUCGCCACAUCUCAUGGAAAGAUAUGAUUGUGUUCACACAACUUCAAUUAAUCUCCUUCUAGACUGUCAAUAGUAGAAAUGAGGCCAAAACAUAAUGUUGUGCCAGGAGACACAGUAGGGAAAAGGAACUUGGGUGGGAUUUCCAGUCUGAAAAGCGAUUCAAUACUACGUGAGUCAAUUUGCAGCGUUCGCCUGUUAAACAGAUUGUGCUUGGGAUUAACAAUGAAAUAAAUUUUAG